rnacentral:rRNA from 1 species
UCUGGGUUGGGAGUGAGUGGCGAACGGGUGAGUAACACGUGAGUAACCUGCCCCCUUCUUUUGGGUAUAACGGUCGGAAACGGCUGCUAAUACCGGGUAUUCACUGUCCUUCGCAUGGGGGGUGGGUGGAAAGGUUUUUUCUUGGUGGGGGAUGGGCUCGCGGCCUAUCAGCUUGUUGGUGGGGUGAUGGCUUACCAAGGCUUUGACGGGUAACCGGCCUGAGAGGGUGACCGGUCACAUUGGGACUGAGAUACGGCCCAG